CGAAGGGUGCUAAGCGUUACUCGGAAGUUACUGGGCGUAAAGCGUGCGUAGGCGGUUUGUUAAGUCUGUCGUGAAAGCCCCGGGCUCAACCUGGGAAUGGCGAUGGAAACUGGCGAGCUAGAGUACGGUAGAGGAGAGUGGAAUUCCCGGUGUAGCAGUGAAAUGCGUAGAGAUCGGGAGGAACAUCAGUUGCGAAGGCGGCUCUCUGGACCAGUACUGACGCUGAGGCACGAAAGCGUGGGGAGCAAACAGGAUUAGAUACCCUGGUAGUCCACGCCCUAAACGAUGCGAACUGGACGUUGGGAGCAAUUAGGCUCUCAGUGUCGAAGCUAACGCGUUAAGUUCGCCGCCUGGGGAGUACGGUCGCAAGACUG
rnacentral:rRNA from 1 species